GUAUGUUUAGGGUUUACUUUAGAGAGCUUAAGGGCUGUGGGGAACUCACCAACGCUAAACGAUUUAUUGAUUAUACAAACUAAAGGGGGCAUUAGCUCUAUAGCAGUGUUUCACAGAAGGAUGGUAAGGUAGACAGGAUGGUUGAAAGUGGGUGACAAAAGGUUAGGGAUACUGAUUUAAGAAAUUGAGCUGUUGUACUUCUGUGAUAAAAGAGCUCGAGAGUUAAAUAGGUCGGCUGGUGGAUGGUAAGGUAAACAGGAUGGUUGAAAGUAGGCGAGAAAAGUUAGGGAUACUGAUCUAAGAAAUUGAGCUGUUGUACUUCUGUGAUAAAAGAGCUCGAGAGUUAAAUAGGUCGGCUGGUGGAUGGUAAGGUAAACAGGAUGGUUGAAAGUAGGCGAGAAAAGUUAGGGAUACUGAUCUAAGAAAUUGAGCUGUUGUACUUCUGUGAUAAAAGAGCUCGAGAGUUGAGUAGGUCGGCUGGUGGAUGGUAAUGUAAACAGGAUGGUUGAAAGUAGGCGAGAAAGGUUAGGGAUACUGAUCUAAGAAAUUGAGCUGUUGUACUUCUGUGAUAAAAGAGCUCGAGAGUUGAGUAGGUCGGCUGGUGGAUGGUAAUGUAAACAGGAUGGUUGAAAGUAGGCGAGAAAAGUUAGGGAUACUGAUCUAAGAAAUUGAGCUGUUGUACUUCUGUGAUAAAAGAGCUCGAGAGUUGAGUAGGUCGGCUGGUGGAUGGUAAUGUAAACAGGAUGGUUGAAAGUAGGCGAGAAAGGUUAGGGAUACUGAUCUAAGAAAUUGAGCUGUUGUACUUCUGUGAUAAAAGAGCUCGAGAGUUGAGUAGGUCGGCUGGUGGAUGGUAAUGUAAACAGGAUGGUUGAAAGUAGGCGAGAAAGGUUAGGGAUACUGAUCUAAGAAAUUGAGCUGUUGUACUUCUGUGAUAAAAGAGCUCGAGAGUUGAGUAGGUCGGCUGGUGGAUGGUAAUGUAAACAGGAUGGUUGAAAGUAGGCGAGAAAGGUUAGGGAUACUGAUCUAAGAAAUUGAGCUGUUGUACUUCUGUGAUAAAAGAGCUCGAGAGUUGAGUAGGUCGGCUGGUGGAUGGUAAGGUAAACAGGGUGGUAAGGUAAACAGGAUGGUUGAAAGUAGGCGAGAAAGGUUAGGGAUACUGAUCUAAGAAAUUGAGCUGUUGUACUUCUGUGAUAAAAGAGCUCGAGAGUUGAGUAGGUUGGCUGGUGGAUGGUAAUGUAAACAGGAUGGUUGAAAGUAGGCGAGAAAGGUUAGGGAUACUGAUCUAAGAAAUUGAGCUGUUGUACUUCUGUGAUAAAAGAGCUCGAGAGUUGAGUAGGUUGGCUGGUGGAUGGUAAUGUAAACAGGAUGGUUGAAAGUAGGCGAGAAAGGUUAGGGAUACUGAUCUAAGAAAUUGAGCUGUUGUACUUCUGUGAUAAAAGAGCUCGAGAGUUGAGUAGGUUGGCUGGUGGAUGGUAAUGUAAACAGGAUGGUUGAAAGUAGGCGAGAAAGGUUAGGGAUACUGAUCUAAGAAAUUGAGCUGUUGUACUUCUGUGAUAAAAGAGCUCGAGAGUUGAGUAGGUUGG